AGAGUUUGAUCAUGGCUCAGGAUGAACGCUGGCGGCGUGCCUAAUACAUGCAAGUCGAGCGGUAACACUUCGGGUGACGAGCGGCGGACGGCUGAGUAACGCGUAGGAACGUACCCCAGAGUGAGGGAUAAGCACCGGAAACGGUGUCUAAUACCGCAUAAUCUCUUUGGAGCAAAGCUUCGGCGCUUUGGGAACGGCCUGCGUAUGAUUAGCUUGUUGGUGAGGUAAUGGCUUACCAAGGCGACGAUCAUUAGCUGGUUUGAGAGGAUGAUCAGCCAGACUGGGACUGAGACACGGCCCAGACUCCUACGGGAGGCAGCAGUCGGGAAUUUUCCACAAUGGGCGCAAGCCUGAUGGAGCAACGCCGCGUGCAGGAUGAAGGCCUUCGGGUCGUAAACUGCUUUUGUUAGUGAAGAUUAUGACGGUAACUAGCGAAUAAGGGUCUGCUAACUACGUGCCAGCAGCCGCGGUC
rnacentral:rRNA from 1 species